GAAAUUUGACCCACAAUAUAUAAGGCACUAUCACAUCCUGCCAAUUUCAAUAUAAUUCCAGAUCUUGUACACCUUGACAGAUUCUAGCUAAUAUCGUUAUACCGACCAUGUUUCAUUUUUCCAGAUGCAUAAAGGUAUGUUUAUAUAACAUUAGCAAAGGUAUGUUUAUAUAACAUUAGGAAAGGACGAUUUGCUUUUUCAACAUUCAAUGAUCUAGUUUUUUUUUUUUCUUUGUUCUGGGGUUCUCUUUGAAUGGACUAGGAUUUGAAGACAACUAAAAUUGGAGCAGGCUUAGGCUGGAAAACCUUGCAUCUAGAACAUUAGCAAAGGCCCGAAAAAAUGUCAGUAAAUAGUGAUGCGUCAAUACCCCAUCCAUUAUGUUACUGUGGAGUGCAUGCACGUUUAAGGUACUCAUGGACUAGUGACAACCCCGGAAGAAAGUGGUACGGUUGUAUAAAGUAUAAGAAAGAUGGGGAUUGUGAUUUUUUUAUGUGGGCUGAUAACCGAAUGACUUCUUAUGAGAAGAGAUUGGAGGAACAUAUGAGAGACAUAGAGGAAGGGAGACGGGCUGAUAUUGAGAAAGUUGAGAAGAUGACAAUGGCCAAUAUUGACAGACUUGAGAAACUAAUUGAAACAAGACACAACGAACAAUAUGAGAGACUUCGGUUGGAGUUUGGUCUUAAUAGAAAGAUGUUUUGGGCAGCAGUAGUUGUAAUCAUUUUGGGCAUUGUAAUUUAUUUUAGUAGUUAUAGCAGUUCUGAAGUUAGCUACUUGAUGUUAGAAUG